rnacentral:rRNA from 1 species
UACGAAGGGGGCUAGCGUUGCUCGGAAUCACUGGGCGUAAAGGGUGCGUAGGCGGGUCUUUUAAGUCAGGGGUGAAAUCCUGGAGCUCAACUCCAGAACUGCCUUUGAUACUGAAGAUCUUGAGUUCGGGAGAGGUGAGUGGAACUGCGAGUGUAGAGGUGAAAUUCGUAGAUAUUCGCAAGAACACCAGUGGCGAAGGCGGCUCACUGGCCCGAUACUGACGCUGAGGACGAAAAGCGUGGGGGAGCAAACAGGAUUAAGAUAACCCCGAGUAGUC